AGUGGAAUUGUUGGAUCAUAUGGUAGUUCUAUUUUCAAUAUUUUGAGGAAAUUCCAUAAUAUUUCCCAUAGUGGUUGUACCAAUUUACAUUCCAAUUAACAGU
rnacentral:pre_miRNA from 1 species